GGGGGAAAUAUCGAAUCUGGACGCAUGAGUGGAAAGCCAACACUCUAUCUGCAAUGAUAUUGGACCACAUGUUGUUCUUAUUUGAGUUAAGAAUGUUCUUAUUUGAAGAUUAUUUGAAGGGUAAUGCUAUGAAGACUAAAUUUGAAAACUAAAUGAUGUGUCACCAAUAAGAAUGAGCAUAUUUAUCAACGCUUAAGUAAUAAUCCAAUCAUCAACUUCCAUGUCAUUUAGUUUAGUAAAUUUUGUUUACAAAUUUAGUCAGUGAGAUAAUAUUCAACAAAAGAAAAAUGAUUAUUCAGAUAAUGAUUCCUUUUUAGUCUCUUAUAUGCAAAACACGGAAAGUUAUAUAGCAUUUAAUAAUUAAUUCUUAAUUAAUACAGGUAUUAUAGUUUGACAUGACAAUGCAGAGAGUGCUAAUUUGAAGAUGGAAAGCUCUAAUUUGUUUUGGGUACAUCAACUCAUUCAUAUAUAGUCGAAAUUAGAGAAAA
rnacentral:lncRNA from 1 species